UACACGCAUGACACACUGCAUAUCAAUAAGCGGAGGAAAAGAAACUAACAAGGAUUCCCUUAGUAACGGCGAGUGAAGCGGGAAGAGCUCAAAUUUGAAAUCUUCAAGGUUCUACCUUGACGAAUUGUAGUUUAUAGAAGUGUUUUCUGUUAGUAGAGUGGCAAAAGUUCUUUGGAAUAGGACAUCAUAGAGGGUGAGAAUCCCGUAUUUGGUCAUUCUUUCUAGCUUUGUGAUACACUUUCAACGAGUCGGAUUGUUUGGGAAUGCAGUCCAAAAUGGGUGGUAAAUUUCAUCUAAAGCUAAAUAUUGGCGAGAGACCGAUAGCGAACAAGUACCGUGAGGGAAAGAUGAAAAGAACUUUGAAAAGAGAGUUAAACAGUACGUGAAAUUGUCAAAAGGGAAGCGUUUGACACCAGUGUUGUUUUUCCGAAAAUCAAUUACGAAUGUUUUAGUUUUUGAGGAGUUAUGACUUCAUCGGCUUGCUUCUUUCUUUACGAAACUUUCUUAAUGCACUUUUCGGUUAACAAGUCAACAUCAAUUUCUUUUGUUGUAAAAGGGUAUGAGGAAGGUGGCUUUCUUUUCGGAGAAAGUGUUUAUAGCCUUGUACCUCUGCAAUCGGAGAGAUUGAGGUCUGCAGCGUAGAUCCUUCGGGAUUAGAUACAUUUGUGCUAAGUUAUAGCUUUUCAUAGACAACUUGUUGACUAUGUUUAGUCUUGUAGCUUACUCGCUUAUGCUAUUUUACCUACGCUUAGGAUGUUGACGCAUGAGAUAUACGC
rnacentral:rRNA from 1 species